rnacentral:rRNA from 1 species
GACGAACGCUGGCGGCGUGCUUAACACAUGCAAGUCGAACGGUAAGGCCCUUCGGGGUACACGAGUGGCGAACGGGUGAGUAACACGUGGGUGAUCUGCCCUGCACUUCGGGAUAAGCCUGGGAAACUGGGUCUAAUACCGGAUAGGACCCUGGGAUGCAUGUCCUGGGGUGGAAAGCUUUUGCGGUGUGGGAUGGGCCCGCGGCCUAUCAGCUUGUUGGGGGGGUGAUGGCCUACCAAGGCGACGACGGGUAGCCGGCCUGGGAGGGUGACCGGCCAAAGUGGGACUGAGAUACUGCCCAGACUCCUACGGGAGGCAGCAGUGGGGAAUAUUGCACAAUGGGCGCAAGCCUGAUGCAGCGACGCCGCGUGAGGGAUGACGGCCUUCGGGUUGUAAACCUCUUUCAGCACCGACGAAGCGCAAGUGACGGUAGGUGCAGAAGAAGGACCGGCCAACUACGUGCCAGCCGCCGCCGUAA